rnacentral:rRNA from 1 species
GACAGAGGUGCCGAGCGUUAGGCGGAAUCACUGGGCUUAAAGCGUGUGUAGGCGGAUGGGUAAGUACCUUGUGAAAUCCCACGGCUCAACCGUGGAACUGCUCGGUAUACUGCUCGUCUUGAGCCAACUAGGGGCGAGCGGAACAGACGGUGGAGCGGUGAAAUGCGUAGAUAUCGUCUGGAACGCCGAAGGUGAAAACAGCUCGCUGGGGCCGCGCUGACGCUGAGACACGAAAGCCAGGGGAGCGAACGGG